GAGGUGGAUGCCUGGGCGACACAUGUCAGUUGUCAACGCAGCAAUUUGACAGGACCCGUACUGAAAUGGCCAGAUAUAUCCAUUCAGACGGGGGCCAAGAAGGAAGUAACCACAGAAACUAAGCCAAAUGCUGACCAAGACAAACCAUUAGAGAAAAGGCACAAAUAAUACAGUCCAAGACAGGAGUUUCUACUGUUAGUUAAUAAAGUUAAGAUAUAUCGUUUUUUUUGACUAUGUUUCAGAGGGAUCGCAAAAAUAUUUUUAUGUUAUUACUUUUUGUUAUGAAACGCACUGUAUUUAUCUGAAUAGAAUGCCACUUAUGAUCUGCUUGACUUGACCACUUUGGCUUUGUAGAUUUAAUGUCUUGCGGCUUGCAUUAUAAAAUUAGUGACAUA